GCCCGGGUGGCGGAAUAGGCAGACGCACGGGACUUAAAAUCCCGCGAUGGAUAACAUCGUACCGGUUCGACCCCGGUCUCGGGCACCA
rnacentral:tRNA from 1 species